rnacentral:lncRNA from 1 species
GUCUUUGUGGAGGUGUGCGUAUAUUUGGAUAUUCUAAAAUUAUAAUUGUGUCCUAGGCGUGUUCUACUCCGCAAAUGUGUCAACACGUUUUCCAAAUAAAGCAGCCCUUCUGGGUAGUGUUAACAGAGAUGAAGUAAGGCUGUACUGAGAACUGAGAAGGGAAAGUGGAGCACACUGCUCUCUCCUCCCUUCCCACCCUCUUCGCUGCCUUUGGUGGAGAACUGAAUGUCAGGGCAGAAAAACAAGGAUGUCAAAGGGAUUUCAGCUUUCUCACAGGACAAACAGGGAUUAUGGUAGGAUGGGCAGAUAUCUGCACUGAUCCAGCCUUGUCAUCACGUUUCUGCAUUGCCGGGUACUCUGGAAAUAAAGGCCCAUUUUUCUGGGAUCCCUCUGCCUUCCUUCUUCAAUGUGGCCUUAAAUUUUUCAGUGGACGAAUUCUACGCCACCUUCUCAAGAUUGGCUUUUUCAGACAGAGCUUCCAUGAUUAAAAUUAUCCCAGUCUUCAUUCAUUGUGAGUUUGAAAGAAGUCCUCAACAG